rnacentral:misc_RNA from 1 species
UACGGAGGGUGCGAGCGUUAAUCGGAAUUACUGGGCGUAAAGCGCGCGUAGGUGGCUUGAUAAGCCGGUUGUGAAAGCCCCGGGCGCAACCUGGGAACGGCAUUUCGAACUGGCAGGCUAGAGUCUUGUAGAGGGGGGUAGAAUUCCAGGUGUAGCGGUGAAAUGCGUAGAGAUCGGGAGGAAUACCAGUGGCGAAGGCGGCCUUCUGGACUGACACCGACGCUGAGGUGCGAAAGCGUGGGUAGCAAACAGG